rnacentral:ribozyme from 1 species
UGCCCAGCAACUCCUAUCCCUACCUCCACGCGGUACCGGCCGGAAACUAUGAGCAACCUUAGGGAA